UACGAAGGUCCCGAGCGUUAUCCGGAUUUAUUGGGUUUAAAGGGUGCGUAGGCGGGUUAUUAAGUCAGUGGUGAAAGCCUACAGCUUAACUGUAGAAUUGCCAUUGAUACUGAUGAUCUUGAGUAUGAUUGAGGUGGGCGGAAUGUGUCAUGUAGCGGUGAAAUGCUUAGAUAUGACACAGAACACCGAUUGCGAAGGCAGCUCACUAAGUCAUAACUGACGCUGAUGCACGAAAGCCGUG
rnacentral:rRNA from 1 species